AUGGUGAUGAGCAUUUCCUGUGCCCCCCACAUACAUUGCCCAGCCCCAUUCAAACAGACAAGAGCAGAAACUCUUAUCCUCCUUUUGGUACUUGGUAGAGAGAUGGAGCAUCCUGUUGUUAGCGCUGGUGGGGGUGCCAUUAACAUACUAGUAUGUAAGCUGGGUACGGUGCUCAUCCAAGAAGCACAGCUCCUUGGAGGCAUCCGAGGCGAGCUGCAGUACAUGAAGGAUGAGCUUGAGAGCAUGACAUCAUUCCUGCAGGACCUUGCUGAGGGGGGAAACCGCAGGAAGCAGGUUAAGAUUUGGAUGAAACAGGUGCGAGAGGUCGCGUAUGAUGUUGAGGAUUGCGUUGAUGAGUUUACAUAUCACCUUGGCAGCACCACGAGUGGUUCUGGCCUUGCCGGACUCUUCCACAGAUGCAUCCGUUUCCUGCAAACUGUCAGGGUGCGGCGUCAGAUUGCGAAACAAAUCCAAGAACUGAAAGCGCGCGCUACAAGUAUCAGCGACCGAAACUCAAGGUAUGGUGGUAAUCAUCUCAUUUCUGGAGCAGAAGGAAACACACUUGCUGCACAACCAGCACCAUCUUAUAUUACUUCUCUGGAUAUUCGUACCCCCGCACUCUUCCCAGAGAUAACGGAACUUGUGGGCAUUGAAGCGCAUCAAAGUAAUCUUGUGAAUUGGUUGGUGGAUGAAAACGUACAACAAUUACUGGUGCUACCUAUAUUCGGCUUUGGUGGUUUGGGGAAGACAACUCUUGCUAUGACGACAUAUCAGACAGCUAGUGCAAGUUUCCAGUGCCGAGCUUUUGUAACUGUAUCCCAGAAAUUUGAUGUGAAGAGUCUCAUAAGGGACAUUCUUCGUCAGAUUAUUCGACCAUUAAAUCAAAAUGGUCCAGCACCAGCAGUAGACCCACUCAAAGGCAUGGAAGAAUGGAACGUGGGACAGCUUGCAGAUAUGCUAAGGCAGCAUCUAGAAGAUAAGAGGUAUCUUAUUGUUCUCGAUGAUAUUUGGAGCAUGUCAGCUUGGGAAGGUAUUCGAUUUUGCUUGCCUAACUCACAUACUGGAAGCAGAGUAAUUGUUACCACAAGAAUGAAAACUGUAGCAAAAGCCUGCUGCCUCCAUGAGUAUGACAGAAAUUACGAAAUUGAACCACUCAGUGGUAGUGAAUCUAGCGAGUUAUUUUUCAAGAGAAUAUUUGGUAACAGGGAAAAUUGCCCAGCUGCCUUAAAAAACAUUUCAGAGAGGAUCCUGGGAAAGUGUGGUGGUAUACCCUUGGCCAUAGUCAGCAUUGCAGGUCUUUUGGCUAGCACACCCUUGUACAGUUAUGAUCGCUGGGAGAAGAUCUACAACUCUCUUGGCUUGGAGCUGGAAACCAGUCCCUGGCUUGAAAAACUGAAGAAAAUUCUUGAGCUUAGUUAUAAUGACCUUCCAUACCAUUUGAAAACUUGUUUCUUAUAUUUAAGCACCUACCCUGAGGAUUAUAAGAUCAGAAGGAAAAGUUUAUUGAGACGAUGGAUAGCAGAACGCUCUGUGACAGUGAAGCGUGGAUUAAGUGCCUUGGAGGUGUCUGAAAAAUAUUUCAAUGAAUUACUCAACAGGAGUAUGGUUCUUCCAAUUGAAAUGAGCUUUGAUGGGAAGGUCAAGACCUUUCGAGUUCAUGAUAUAAUGCUAGAGAUCAUUGUUUCAAAAUCAAUUGAAGAGAAUUUCGUCACUUUGGUAGGUCAACAGUCUACUUUAGCUCCUCAAGAGAAGAUUCGGCGGCUAUCCAUUCAUGGAGGAAGUUACCAAAACAUUGCCACAAGCAAAUUGUUAAGCCAUGUCCGAUCAUUGAGUAUAUUUUUUUCGAGAAAACGCAGGGGACCCAUGCGUUUCAUUCCAUUGAAAAGAGAGAGUUUGUAA
rnacentral:rRNA from 1 species